AUUGAACGCUGGCGGCAGGCUUAACACAUGCAAGUCGAGCGGUAACAGAGAGAAGCUUGCUUCUCUGCUGACGAGCGGCGGACGGGUGAGUAAUGCCUAGGAAUCUGCCUAGUAGUGGGGGAUAACUUGCCGAAAGGUAAGCUAAUACCGCAUACGUCCUACGGGAGAAAGGAGGGGACCUUCGAGCCUUUCGCUAUUAGAUGAGCCUAGGUCGGAUUAGUUAGUUGGUGAGGUAAUGGCUCUCCAAGACCGCGAUCCGUAACUGGUCUGAGAGGAUGAUCAGUCACGCUGGAACUGAGACACGGUCCAGACUCCUAAGGGAGGGAGCAGUGUGGAAUAUUGGACAAUGGGGGGAACCCUGAUCCAGCCAUGCCGCGUGUGUGAAGAAGGUCUUAGGAUUGUAAAGCACUUUAAGUUGGGAGGAAGAGCAGUUAACUAAUAUUUGACUGUUUUGACGUUACCGACAGAAUAAGCACCGGCUAACUUCGUGCCAGCCGCCGCCGUAA
rnacentral:rRNA from 1 species